rnacentral:rRNA from 1 species
UACGUAGGGGGCUAGCGUUGUCCGGAAUCAUUGGGCGUAAAGAGCGUGUAGGCGGUCCGGUAAGUCCGCUGUGAAAGUCGGGGGCUCAACCCUCGAAUGCCGGUGGAUACUGUCGGGCUAGAGUGCGGAAGAGGCGAGUGGAAUUCCUGGUGUAGCGGUGAAAUGCGCAGAUAUCAGGAGGAACACCAGUGGCGAAGGCGCCGCUCUGGGCCGUGACUGACGCUGAGGAGCGAAAGCGUGGGGAGCAAACAGG